rnacentral:rRNA from 1 species
UACAGAGGGGGCAAGCGUUGUUCGGAAUUACUGGGCGUAAAGGGCGCGUAGGUGGCCCGGUCAGUUCGUGGUGAAAGCGCGGGGCUCAACCCUGCGUCGGCCAUGAAUACUGCCGCGGCUGGAGCACUGUAGAGGCAGGCGGAAUUCCGGGUGUAGCGGUGGAAUGCGUAGAGAUCCGGAAGAACACCGGUGGCGAAGGCGGCCUGCUGGGCAGUUGCUGACACUGAGGCGCGACAGCGUGGGGAGC